UUAUUGGAGAGUUUGACCCUGGCUCAGGUAUGAACGCUGGCGGCGUGCCUAAUACAUGGCAAGCGAGCGAAUGGAUUCAAGAGCUUGCUUGCUUAUGAAGGUUAGCGGCGGACGCGAGUAACACGUGGUAACCUGCCCAUAAGACUGAUAACUCCGGGAAACCGGGCUAAUACCGAUAACAUUUUACGCUGGUUCGAAAUGAAAGGGCGGCUUCGGCUGUCACUUAUGGAGGACCCGCGUCGCAUUACUAGUGGUGAGGUAACGGGCUCACCAAGCAACGAUGCGUAGCCGACUGAGAGGUGACGGCCACACUGGACUGAGACACCUGAGACAGCCCAGACUCCUAGGAGGCAGCAGUAGGGAUCUUCCGCAAUGGACCGAAAGUCUGACGGAGCAACGCCGCGUGAGUGAUGAGCUUUCGGGGUCGCUAAAAACUCUUUGUUAUGGGAAAGAACAAUGCAGUUGAAUAAGCUGGGCACCUUGACGUACCUAACCAGAAAGCCACGGCUAAACUACGUGCAGCAGCCCGCGGUCAAAUACGUAGGUUGGCAAGCGUUUAUUUCCGGAAUUAUUGGGCCGUUAAAGCGCGCGCAGGUGGUUUCUUAAGUCUGAAUGUGAAAGCCCGGCUCAACCGUGGAGGGGUCUUUGGAAACUGGGAGACUGAGUGCAGAAGACGCGAAAGGGGAAUUCCAUGUGUAAGCGGUGAAAUGCGUUAGAGAUAUGGAGAAACCCAGUGGCGAAGGCGCCUUCUGGUCUGUAACUGACACUGAGGCGCGGAAAGCGUGGGGAGCAAACAGGUAUUAGAUACCCUGGUAGUCCACGCCGUAAACGAUGAGUUUGGGCUAAGUUUAGAGGUUUCCGCCCUUUUAUUUGCUGAAGUUAACGCAUUAACACUCGCCUGCGGGGAGUACGGCCGCCAAGGCUGGAAACUUCAAAGGAAUUGACGGGGGGCCCGCACAAGCGGUGGAGCCAUGUGGUUUAAUUUCGACAGCAACGCGAAGAACCUUACCAGCGUCUUUGACAUCCUCUGAAAACCCUAGAGAUAGGGCUUCUCCUUUCGGGAGCAGAAGACAGGUUGUGCAUGGUGUCGUCAGCUCGUUCGUUGAGAGUUGGUUAAGUCCCGCAACGAGGCAUACCCUUGAUCUUAGUUGCCAUCAUUAAGUUGGGCACUUCUAAGGUGACUGCCGGUGACAAACCGGAAAGGUGGGGUUGACGUCAAAAUCAUCAUGCCCCUUAUGGACCGGGCCUACCACACGUGCUACAAUUGGACGUACCAAAGAGCUUGCAAAGACCGCGAGGUGGAGUAAUUCAUAAAACCGUUCCUCAGUUCGGAUUGUAGCUGCAACUCGCCUACCAUGAAGCCUGAAUCGCUAGUAAUCGCGGAUCAGCAUGCCGCGGGUGAAUACGUUCCCAGGCCUUGUACAACACCGCCCGUUCACACCACGAGAGUUGUAACACCCGAAGUCGGUGGGGUAACCUUUUUGGAGCAGCCGCCUAAGGUCGGACAGUGAUUUGGGCGUGAAGUCUAACAAGGGUAAGCCGAUAUCGGAAGGUUGCGUGGCUGGAUCACCUCCUUUC
rnacentral:rRNA from 1 species